ACGAGGAUUCGCUUCCUGAUCAUCAUUGAGUAAACAUCUAUUUCGAAACGCUCGUGAAAUCCUACGAAGAUAAAUUUCUGAAGAAAAAACAUAACCAAAGAAAUUCACAAUUGAGGGAGAAGAAAAGAAGCUAAAAUUAAUUAAGAAGAGUACGAUAACCAACCUGGGAAAGAAGACAUCGGAAUAGUUUUUCCGGAAAGCCACCAAGGGGGUACCAGCACAUUCCACCAAGGGG